CUCGCCCAAGCUCAAUGGGAUGAGCAUCGGAUUACGAAUCCGGGGGAUGCAGGUUCGAAUCCUGCGGGCGAGGCCA
rnacentral:tRNA from 1 species